rnacentral:rRNA from 1 species
CACAUGUGACGUAGUUUGAUCCUGGCUCAGGAUGAACGCUAGCGGUGUGCCUAAUGCAUGCAAGUCGAACGGGAUCCUUUGGAUUCGUCUGAAGGUGAGAGUGGCGAACGGGUGAGUAACACGUAGGUGACCUGCCCCGGAGAGGGGGACAACCACUGGAAACGGUGGCUAAUACCCCAGAUGUUAUUGCGCUUAGAAAGCAAUUGCUAAAGUUCCGGCGCUCCGGGAGGGGCCUGCGGCCCAUCAGCUUGUUGGUAAGGUAAUGGCUUACCAAGGCUAAGACGGGUAGGGGGCGUGAGAGCGUGACCCCCCCACACUGGUACUGAGACACGGACCAGAUACCUGCGGGUAGCAGCAGCAAGGAAUAUUGCCCAAUGGACGAAAGUCUGAGGCAGCAACACCGCGUGGAGGAUGAAGGCCUUCGGGUUGUAAACUCCUUUUCUGGGGGAAGAGAAAGGACGGUACCCCAGGAAUAAGUCUCGGCUAACUACGUG